GGGGUUGUAGCUCAGUCUUAGAGCUCCCGCUUCGUAUGCGGGAAGACUUGGGUUCAAUUCCCGGCUACUCAC
rnacentral:tRNA from 1 species